AUUGAACGCUGGCUGCUGGCCUAACACCUGCAAGUCGGAGGACUGGCGGACGGGUGAGUAAUGUGUGGGCAACUGACUGAUGGGGGGGGAUAACUACUUGAAACGGUAGCUAAUACCGCAUACAAUCGGAUGGGCCCAAAUGGGAUUAGCUAGUAGGUGGGUGAAAGGCUUACCUAGGCCACGAUCCCUCGCUGGUCUGAGAGGAUGACCAGCCACACUGGAACUGAGACACGGUCCGGACUACUACGGGAGGCAGCAGUGGGGAAUAUUGCAAAAGGGGCGCAAGCCUUAUGCAGCCACGCCGCGUGUAUGAAGAAGGCCUUCGGGUUGUAAAGUACUUUCAGCGGUGAGGCGUUAACCGCAGAAGAAGCCCCGGCUAACUCCCUGCCAGCAGCCGCGGUAAUAC
rnacentral:rRNA from 1 species